rnacentral:rRNA from 1 species
UGAGGAAUAUUGGGCAAUGCCCGAAAGGGUGACCCAGCAACGCCGCGUGGAGGAUGAGGGUCGUAAGAUUGUAAACUCCUGUUAGAGGGGAAGAAUAACUAAGUUUGGAGCUUAGUAUGACUGUACCCUCAGAGAAAGCCCCGGCUAACUACGUGCCAGCAGCCGCGGUAAUACGUAGGGGGCAAGCGUUGUCCGGAUUUCCUGGGUGUAAAGGGCGCGCAGGCGGAAUGGAAAGUCAGUGGUGAAAUCCUACAGCUUAACUGUAGAACUGCCUUUGAUACUUUCAUUCUUGAGUUCGGGAGAGAGAGACGGAAUUCCAGGUGUAGUGGUGAAAUACGUAGAUAUCUGGAAGAACACCAGUUGCGAAGGCGGUCUCUUGGUCCGAUACUGACGCUGAGGCGCGAAAGCGUGGGGAGCAAACA